rnacentral:rRNA from 1 species
GACGAACGCUGGCGGCGUGCUUAACACAUGCAAGUCGAACGGAAAGGCCCUGCUUUUGUGGGGUGCUCGAGUGGCGAACGGGUGAGUAACACGUGAGUAACCUGCCCUUGACUUUGGGAUAACUUCAGGAAACUGGGACUAAUACCGGAUAGGAGCUCCUGCUGCAUGGUGGGGGUUGGAAAGUUUCGGCGGUUGGGGAUGGACUCGCGGCUUAUCAGCUUGUUGGUGGGGUAGUGGCUUACCAAGGCUUUGACGGGUAGCCGGCCUGAGAGGGUGACCGGCCACAUUGGGACUGAGAUACGGCCCAGACUCCUACGGGAGGCAGCAGUGGGGAAUAUUGCACAAUGGGCGGAAGUCUGAUGCAGCAACGCCGCGUGCGGGAUGACGGCCUUCGGGUUGUAAACCGCUUUCGCCUGUGACGAAGCGUGAGUGACGGUAAUGGGUAAAGAAGCACCGGCUAACUACGUGCCAGCAGCCGCGGUGAUACGUAGGGUGCGAGCGUUGUCCGGAUUUAUUGGGCGUAAAGGGCUCGUAGGUGGUUGAUCGCGUCGGAAGUGUAAUCUUGGGGCUUAACCCUGAGCGUGCUUUCGAUACGGGUUGACUUGAGGAAGGUAGGGGAGAAUGGAAUUCCUGGUGGAGCGGUGGAAUGCGCAGAUAUCAGGAGGAACACCAGUGGCGAAGGCGGUUCUCUGGGCCUUUCCUGACGCUGAGGAGCGAAAGCGUGGGGAGCGAACAGGCUUAGAUACCCUGGUAGUCCACGCUGUAAACGGUGGGUACUAGGUGUGGGGUCCAUUCCACGGGUUCCGUGCCGUAGCUAACGCUUUAAGUACCCCGCCUGGGGAGUACGGCCGCAAGGCUAAAACUCAAAGGAAUUGACGGGGCCCCGCACAAGCGGCGGAGCAUGCGGAUUAAUUCGAUGCAACGCGUAGAACCUUACCUGGGUUUGACAUGGAUCGGGAGCGCUCAGAGAUGGGUGUGCCUCUUUUGGGGUCGGUUCACAGGUGGUGCAUGGCUGUCGUCAACUCGUGUCGUGAGAUGUUGGGUUGAGUCCCGCAACGAGCGCAACCCUUGUUCACUGUUGCCAGCACGUUAUGGUGGGGACUCAGUGGAGACCGCCGGGGUCAACUCGGAGGAAGGUGGGGAUGACGUCAAGUCAUCAUGCCCCUUAUGUCCAGGGCUUCACGCAUGCUACAAUGGCUGGUACAGAGAGUGGCGAGCCUGUGAGGGUGAGCGAAUCUCGGAAAGCCGGUCUCAGUUCGGAUUGGGGUCUGCAACUCGACCUCAUGAAGUCGGAGUCGCUAGUAAUCGCAGAUCAGCAACGCUGCGGUGAAUACGUUCCCGGG